rnacentral:rRNA from 1 species
AUGCAAGACUACUUCGCGGAGAAUUCUACAUAUCCACCGCACCUCUUCCGGAGAAGGUACCGAAUGCGCCGAUCCCUCUUUGUGAAAAUUGUUCAAGCUUGCGAGGCAAAUUACCGGUAUUUUACUCAAAGAAGAAAUGUUGCGGGCUUAAAGGGAUUUAGUGCAUAUCAAAAAACCUCCGCAGCUAUGCGGGUGAUUGCGUUAGAGCUUUUUUUCAGACAUACAAGGAGAUUGAAAAUGCAAACACACACUUUCAACUUCAGAAGGAUCUCAUUGAGCACCAUUGGCAAAUGGCUGGACAGUGACUCAUUUUUGUGUUCAUUUGUAUUUGUAUUCAUCACAAGUUUUGUAUUGCAUUAUUUAAGUUUUCUUCGGUGA